GACGAACGCUGGCGGCGUGCUUAACACAUGCAAGUCGAACGGAAAGGCCCUGCUUUUGUGGGGUGCUCGAGUGGCGAACGGGUGAGUAACACGUGAGUAACCUGCCCUUGACUUUGGGAUAACUUCAGGAAACUGGGGCUAAUACCGGAUAGGAGCUCCUGCUGCAUGGUGGGGGUUGGAAAGUUUCGGCGGUUGGGGAUGGACUCGCGGCUUAUCAGCUUGUUGGUGGGGUAGUGGCUUACCAAGGCUUUGACGGGUAGCCGGCCUGAGAGGGUGACCGGCAACAUGGGGACUGAGGUAGGGCCAAGCCUCGUACGGGAGGCAGCGGGGGGAAAUAUGGCACAUGGGGGGGGGGCGGGAGACGGAACCGCCGGGUGGGGGAUGCCGGCUUUCGGUUUGAAACCCCCUUUCGCCUGUAACGAAGGGGGAGUGAGGGAAAUGGAUAAAGAAGCCCCGGCUAACUCCGUG
rnacentral:rRNA from 1 species